GAUGAACGCUAGCGAUAGGCUUAACACAUGCAAGUCGAGGGGCAGCGAGGGUAGCAAUACCUGUCGGCGACCGGCGCACGGGUGAGUAACGCGUAUGUAACCUGCCCGCAACAGGGGGAUAACCCGGCGAAAGUCGGACUAAUACCGCAUAAAACAGGGGUCCCGCAUGGGAAUAUUUGUUAAAGAUUUAUCGGUUGCGGAUGGGCAUGCGUACCAUUAGGUAGUUGGUGAGGUAACGGCUCACCAAGCCUUCGAUGGUUAGGGGUUCUGAGAGGAAGGUCCCCCACACUGGUACUGAGACACGGACCAGACUCCUACGGGAGGCAGCAGUGAGGAAUAUUGGUCAAUGGGCGAGAGCCUGAACCAGCCAAGUCGCGUGAAGGAUGACUGCCCUAUGGGUUGUAAACUUCUUUUACAAGGGAAUAAAAUGGGAUACGUGUAUUUUAUUGCAUGUACCUUGGGAAUAAGCAUCGGCUAACUCCGUG
rnacentral:rRNA from 1 species